rnacentral:tRNA from 1 species
AUCCGAGUGCUGAAAUUGGUAGACAGGACGAGCUUAAGUUUCGUUGACGCAAGUCGUAGAGGUUCAACUCCUCUUUCGGAUA